GGUCAUUGUCAUAACCAGAGAAGUGGAUCCUGCCCCCUGGGAGCUGCUUCGCUGGAGGACUCACACCAAUCUUCAUGAACUGUCUUUUGUGGGGUUUCUUGAGUUCCAGCAGGGCAUAGUCAUAAUCCAUGCCGAUGUCAUUGGCAUUGCCCUUGAUCCACCCCUUGGGCACAUGGGUGCGUUUCACACGGAUCCACUGAAACUUCAUCUUGUCUGGCAUGGCUGAGCUCGAGCUGUUGUCCCCUCCGGCACCAUCUUUAUACUUGGGCUUCAGGAAGCCCACUCGGAGUUUCUGUGUCCCUUUCACAUAGGUUUUCCCAUCGUGUAUGCAGUGGGCAGCAGUGAGGACGUGCUUCUCUGCCACCAGGGUGCCAGUGCAGCCAGUAGACAACUUCACCGAUGUUGAGAAAGGAUAGUUAAGCAGGAAGUCCUUCCCAAAAAUGCUAAACCUGCCAUCGUAGCCAUAAAUCUGCCUCUUCCUGCGAGAUCUCCCUGUGGCCUCCGAGUCUCUGCCUCGUGCCCUGCCUUCACCAUUGCUGAGGAUGUAGAUGCCCACCCGAGUCUCUGUGCGGCUGCCAUUGGCGUAAAGGGUUUCAUAGGAAAGGUAUUGCUUGGCCUCUUCGUAGGUGGGCAGUGGUGUUCCCUUGUGACACUGAGGUCCACAUGAGGAAGACACCUCCAAUUUCGCUUUGGCGUCGAAGUCUGCCUUAGCUAAGUUGAGGGUAGACUGAGGCAAGACUACAGGGAGGCGGUAAGCUGGCCAUGUGGGUUUCCAUGGAACGGUGUAAGGACUCACCUGCAUGAACACACAGAGCAGGACAAGAAGGGUGAAGAGCCCUGGGAUUCCAGCCAUGCUGAGUGCUACUGUAGAAACAAAGACAAGAAGUCAGGAGGACGAAAGCUAUACAGUUCAUUUACUGCAGCCUGGCAGGGCACAGCCGCUCGCUGGUCGUGUUUCUAAGACUGGGAACAUUCCUCAGGUUCCCAGCGAGAGACUCCCUCAGGUAAUGGUCUCACUUACAUGCAAGGACUUGCUUGACCUUAGAAUCAUUUCCACACCUCAAAUCCAAAUGAAGCUGCUCCCCCCGCCCCCCUUCAUGAUGAAGAAGUAAAGACCAUGGGACAUUACAGGGCCACAUCUAGAAAAUUUACCACUAUUCUGUGAACAUAUGGUCAGCUCUCAUUUUUUAUGAGAUUUUUGAAUGUUCUUUUAACUUGAUUCUAUAUACCUUGGCCUCUCCUGUCUAGCUACCCACCCACCCUUGGCCCCUUUCCUUCCUUGUUAUCUUAUUCUAUUACAGUAAGUUCUUACAUAAUAUUCUGGGCAACAUGCUCACUUAGAUAAUAAAUCUAAAGCAGACACUUU
rnacentral:lncRNA from 1 species